rnacentral:rRNA from 1 species
AUGCACGCGCUAACUCACGCACGCACACACACCUACACUUGGGCGCGCACCCAAGCCCGCUCCGGCUCGAGCCCGACACGGCCACCACGCGCACGCACACGCGCGCUGUGCCCGAGCCCUAGCCGAGGCUUAUUCGCCCUACAUAAUGUUGAUGCCUCGGUGGCUAGGAACCGGGGCCGAGGGGCUGUAGCGGUCAUAUGUUGAGAUCAUGAAGGUAAUUUCCAGGGUGCUUCGUCCAUGCUGAUCAAAGGGGUCAGUGAUCCCCCAUCUCUGGAAGCCUUGGCGGUUCGGGAGGCUCUAGCCCUCGCCGACGAUUUAAACUUGCAAAGAAUUCAUGUGGCAUCCAAUUGCAAGGUGGUGGUGGACGACAUCAAGCAUAAGAACAAGGCUAGCUAUGGAGCAAUCAUACAUGAAAUCAUUGAUCAUAGUUCUUUUUUUAGUGCUUGUAAUUUUGUCCAUGAGUUUAGGAGCUCGAAUUUCGAGGCUCACAAUUUAGCGAAGUGA